CCUACGGGGUGCUGCAGUGGGGAAUAUUGGACAAUGGGCGAAAGCCUGAUCCAGCCAUGCCGCGUGUGUGAAGAAGGCCUUCGGGUUGUAAAGCACUUUCAGUGGGGAAGAAAGCCUUGGGGCUAAUACCCUCGAGGAAGGACAUCACCCACAGAAGAAGCACCGGCUAACUCCGUGCCAGCAGCCGCGGUAAUACGGAGGGUGCGAGCGUUAAUCGGAAUUACUGGGCGUAAAGCGCGCGUAGGCGGUCUGAUAAGCCGGUUGUGAAAGCCCCGGGCUCACCCUGGGAACGGCAUCCGGAACUGUCAGGCUAGAGUGCAGGAGAGGAAGGUAGAAUUCCCGGUGUAGCGGUGAAAUGCGUAGAGAUCGGGAGGAAUACCAGUGGCGAAGGCGGCCUUCUGGACUGACACUGACGCUGAGGUGCGAAAGCGUGGGUAGCAAACAGGAUUACAUACCCUAGUAGUC
rnacentral:rRNA from 1 species